AAGUCGUAACAAGGUUUCCGUAGGUGAACCUGCGGAAGGAUCAUUAUAAAAUUUUCAUAUAUUAUUUAUUUAAUAUAUAAAAUUAUAUACAAAAUGUAUUCAAAACCCACACACUUUAUAACCAAAAAAAAAAUAUAUUUUUUAAUAUAUAUAUAAAAAAACAACUUUCAACAACGGAUCUCUUGGCUCUC
rnacentral:misc_RNA from 1 species